ensembl:lncRNA
UUUUCUCUUCGAAAAUCCCCCAUUUAAGCGAAAAUAACGCAUUUUCAUCUUCGCAAAUCCCCCAUUUAAGCGAAAAUCACGUGUUUUCUCUUCGCAAAUCCCCUAUUUAAGCGAAAAUCACGUGUUUUCUCUUCGCAAAUCCCCCAUUUAAGUGAAAAUCACGCGUUUUCUCUUCGAGAAUCCCCCAUUUAACCGAAAAUCACGUUUUCUCUUUGGAAAUCCCCUAUUUAAGCGAAAAUCACGCGUUUUCUCUUCGAGAAUCCCCCAUUUAAGCGAAAAUCACGCGUUUUCUCUUCGCAAAUCCCCCAUUUAAGCCACAAAUCACGCGUUUUCUCUUCAAGAAUCCCCCAUUUAAGCGAAAAUCACGCAUUUUCUCUUCGCAAAUCCCCCAUUUAAGUGAAAAUCACGCGUUUUCUCUUCGCAAAUCCCCCAUUUAAGCAAAAAUCACGCGUUUUCAUCUUCGAGAAUCCCCCAUUUAAGCGAAAAUCACGCGUUUUCUCUUCGAGAAUCCCCCAUUUAACCCAAAAAUCACGCUUUUCAUCUUCGAGAAUCCCCCAUUUAAGCGAAAAUCACGCGUUUUCUCUUCGAGAAUCCCCCAUUUACCCAAAAAUCACGCGUUUUCUCUUCGGAAAUCCCCCAUUUAAGCGAAAAUCACGCGUUUUCAUCUUCGGAAAUCCCCCAUUUAAGCGAAAAUCACGCGUUUUCUCUUC